rnacentral:rRNA from 1 species
AUAGAGAUAAUUAUAAAUAGUACAGUUAAGUAUAUAUGUUAUUAAAUUAAAAAAAAAAAAAGUAAAAUCACUGCUUUUAUACAAAUUUAAAAAUUUUUUUUAUGCCUGUAGAGUAAUAUUGUUAGUUUAUAAUUUUAUUGUUGUAAUUUUUAUAAAAUCAGUUAAAUUUGUGCCAGCAUCUGCGGUUAGACUGAAGAUUUAUUUUGUAAUUAUUAGGAUUUAUUUGGCGAGAAUAUAAUUAAUAUUUUUGGUGAAAUAUUUAUGUGAGGCUAAUAUUUUUAUUUUAUAAAAAAAUUAAAAUCAUGAGUAGGAUUAGAUACCCUGUUAUUUUAUUUUUAUUAUUAUCCUAAGGAUUUAGGUUAAAAUUAAAUGAUUUGGCGGCUAGUGUCAAUUAAAGGGGUUUGUUUAUUAAUUUGAUGCGACACAGUGUAUAUCACUUAUUUUAUUUAGUAUACCAUCAUUUAAUUAGUUUGUAAUUAAUUAACUAAUUUAAUAAUUUUAGUAAAUUAGAUCCAGGUGCUGAUAUAAGCAAGGUAUAAUUAACGACAAUAAUUUAUUCUUAUAUGUAAUUAUUUUAAUUAUAUUUAAAGGUGGAUUUAAGUGUAAUAAUAAAAAUAUGAAAUAUGUUCUAGUGUACAAAUUGCCCGUCAUUCUCUAUGAGACAAGUCGAAACAAAGUAGGGCUAUCGGAAGUUAGGCCUA